UACGUAGGGGGCAAGCGUUGUUCGGAAUUACUGGGCGUAAAGGGCGCGUAGGCGGCUUUCUAAGUCGAACGUGAAAUCCCCGGGCUCAACCCGGGAACUGCGUCCGAUACUGGAAGGCUUGAAUCCGGGAGAGGGAUGUGGAAUUCCAGGUGUAGCGGUGAAAUGCGUAGAUAUCUGGAGGAACACCGGUGGCGAAGGCGACAUCCUGGACCGGUAUUGACGCUGAGGCGCGAAAGCCAGGGGAGCAA
rnacentral:rRNA from 1 species